UUUCAGGGCCUUAUCCAGUGGUUGCCACCAGGAACAGACCAGGAGCACUGUGAGUCUCUCACCAUGGCUACCACACCUGGGCGGGCCCUGGGCUCCCUCCUGCCCACCCUUCUGCUGGGACUCACAGCUGGACAGCCCUUCAUCUCUCUGACUGGUCCAUCUCAGAGGACAAGCCCUGGAGACUCGGUGCCUUUCAACUGUACUGCUGGCCCCUUCAACUCCCAGAACUUCUCCCGGGACUUCAAUGUUACCUGGUUGAAGGACAGUGAUGAACAUCCAGCCUCAGCUCAGCGCCUGGUGCCUGACAAUGGAGGCAAUGACUUCAUCACCAGCAAGGCAUGGGUGACACUGACGCGACAGGAUGUCUCAUCUGAGAUCACCUGCAAAGUCACCCACAGGGCCCUGGCAGACCCCCUGAAAACAACCAUGAAUCUCUCCCAAGUGCUCCGAGUUGUCCCCACCCUGAAGAUCACCACUGAACCCUCUGGGACCCAUGUACAUGUGCAAGACAGAGUGAAUCUCACCUGCCAUGUCCUCCACUUCUAUCCCACCCACCUGCGACUCACCUGGAUGGAGAACAGGCGCAUGAUCCAGACCCUGGUGUCCCCUCAGGUCACCAGAAAUCCAGAUGGGACAUACUCUCUGGAGCACACGUGGCAGGCAGAGGCCACGCUGGAGGAGCGUGAGUUUGCUUGCUGGGUGGUCCACGAUGAGCAGCCCCCACUCAAGACCAACGUCGCCCUGCAAGCCCGGCUGCACAGGCAGGGGAAAGGCCAGAGUGUCCAGCCUUACAAGUUGCAAGGCCCCCUUCAGCGAUCUGAGCCCGGCACAAGGAUCCGAUUGACCUACACAUCCUCUGGGUUCUUGACACACCAGGUUACUGUGACCUGGCUUAAAAACAAACACGAGCUCCCAAACCCCCAGACCAGCGUCCAGUACAGUGGACACAACUACAAUGUGACCAGCAGUGUGCUUGUCCUGCUGACGGAUGAUGAUGUGUUCUCCCACGUCGUUUGCCAUGUCGAGCACAAGUUGAUGCGGUUUUUCCAGAAAACCAUUGGCCUGGACCAGUACCUCCGGGUUCCUCCUACAGUGACAGUGUCCCAGUCUUCCACCUCCUCCAGCUUGGUGGCUGCUACUUGCCUCGUGCAGAGAUUCUAUCCACAAAACGUGCACCUCGCCUGGCUAGAGGACUGCCAUACACUCAAAGGCACUGAGCAACCCACAUUAAAGAAGAAUGAUGAUGGGUCCUACACCCUGGAAAACCUGCUGCUGGUGAAUGCAUCAGUGCAGGGGCCUGAGCGGGUGCUCACCUGCAUAGUGGAACAUGAGGGACAGCCUCCCAAACGGGCCAACCUCAUACUGUCCACAGCAGCCCACACCGCUUAUAAGCCCAUUGGGAGCACAGCCCCUGCAUGCCCUGUGAUACAUUACCUCCAGCCCUCUCCAAGGGGUUCAAGCAGGGAGAAGCUGCAAGGACUUAUAGGUCACUAAAGACCCCUUUAUUCCAUCCCUGCCACCCCCAUCAUGGACACGCUCCCUUCCACACACCUUCCUGGUGUUCCUUCCCUCAGAGCUUUGGAGCUGAGUCAGGGAAGGAUUUUCUUCAUGAGGACUCCAGGGAUGUCUUGACCCUGAUGUACUGAGCUUCAAAUUGGCCCUGCUUCCACCCAAGAGAAUUAAACUGAUCAAGAAAAGAAGUUUCCAUUCUGCCCUCGGUCAUGAACAAUCCUUAAUUUUCAGAGCAGUUUUUACUUUUGUGCAGGGCUUUUGAAAAUAUGAUUUCAUUUUAACACACAUAUAUUUUGAAAUCACUAGUAAGUUGCAUAAGCAUUUUUCUCUUCUGAAAUGUACAGAAAAAAUACAAACAAUACCCAUGGACCUACCAUCCUAUCUUUUAAAAAUAGUAACAUUUGCCAUUAUGAUCUUCAGUUCUUUUAAAACAAACAAACAAACAAAAAAACACAGUUCUGAAUUUGUUCAUCAUUCUCAAGCAUGAUUUUGUAACUUUAUAACAUAUGUAUAAAUCCUUAAGCAAUGUAUAGUAUUACUUUUCAUAUUUUAACAUAUAAAUGCUAUGACACUGCA